rnacentral:rRNA from 1 species
AUUGAACGCUGGCGGCAGGCUUAACACAUGCAAGUCGAGCGGGGGAAGGUAGCUUGCUACCGGACCUAGCGGCGGACGGGUGAGUAAUGCUUAGGAAUCUGCCUAUUAGUGGGGGACAACAUCUCGAAAGGGAUGCUAAUACCGCAUACGUCCUACGGGAGAAAGCAGGGGAUCUUCGGACCUUGCGCUAAUAGAUGAGCCUAAGUCGGAUUAGCUAGUUGGGGGGGUAAAGGCCUACCUAGGCGACGAUCUGUAGCGGGUCUGAGAGGAUGAUCCGCCACACUGGGACUGAGACACGGCCCAGACUCCUACGGGAGGCAGCAGGGGGGAAUAUUGGACAAUGGGGGGAACCCUGAUCCAGCCAUGCCGCGUGUGUGAAGAAGGCCUUAUGGUUGUAAAGCACUUUAAGCGAGGAGGAGGCUACUCUAGUUAAUACCUAGGGAUAGUGGACGUUACUCGCAGAAUAAGCACCGGCUAACUCUGUGCCAGCCGCCGCAGUAA